rnacentral:misc_RNA from 1 species
AUAAAGCCAGCGCUCCCUGGCCAUCUUCCCUCUUUGCAGCCCUCUGCCCUUCCGCCCCACUCGCUCCCUCUGCCACCGAAGCCGCCCCGCCUUCUUCCUCUCGUUCCUUGCUUCGCCGCGCAAACGCCGAUGCCCGCUGUGGUGCGCUCGCUUCUCCCGCACAGCAUGCGCCAGAUGUGCGUGCUGGUGACCGUUACAGCGCUGCUGGCUGUUGCGCACCUGCCCACCCCCUCACGCGGCAGCGUGGAGUGGGUAUUGCAGCAGGUGCAGGUGCUGCACCGCCACGGCUCGCGCUCGGCGGUACCAACCCACAACACAACGGCCAUCUGCGGCUCGACACCGUGCGGGUUCCUGAACCCGGAGGGUGAGAUGAUGAUGCGGAACGUGGGCAGCUUCCUGCGCACACGCUACAACACGGACGCGACCGUUGUGGAUGAGCCGUUUCUGCCGUCACCGGACUACGAUCUCACCCUUGUGGACUCGCACUCCACGGAUGUGCAACGCACGCUGCAGAGUGCACAUAUGUUCCUUGCUGGGAUGUUCCCGAACGAAAGCCGGCUGAUCCCCGCCAUCCACACUGUGCCAAUAUCUCAGGACACGAUUCUAUACACUUUCUCGCAGCCUUGGGUUGCGCUGUAUAUCACGUACGCAGGCGCCGCUCAGUCGGCGCGCAUGAACCCCACGAUUGACCGCUACUUUCCCGACUGGACGGAGCUCAGGGAUCUCGGUGCGGCGGUGUGGAGUGAGGGCUACUGCUCCAACUUCACGACACGCCUGGGCUGUGUCCUUAUGGUGUAUGAUAUCGCCACUGCGAAGCUCGCUGUGGGCGAGUUGCCAGCCGCUGUUGCCGCCCGGUACGACGACCUGCAUGAGAUUAUCGCAGAGAGUUACCGCGGGUUGUGGUACUACGACCCCAGCAACUCCUUCUCUGUGCAGCAGGGCGGGCGCGGGCAGCCGUUCCUGAAGCAGGUGGUGAGGAACAUCGAUGACUUUGUUGCUGGCCGCAACACAUACAAGGUGAUGCAUUACAGCGGCCACGACAUUUCUCUGGGGGCCGUGUGGGGCACACUGGGCGACAAAGGUGUGCACGCGAUGCAGCCUCCCUACGCGCAGACGCUGGUGCUUGAGCUUGUGAAGAGCGCGAGCAGUGGCGAGCAUGGCGUGCGUGUGCUGCGUGGGUGGCCUGGCCAGACCCCUGAGACCGGGUUCACUUUCUCCUGGGACCCAACGUGGCAGCUGCAGUGCCAGCGCAGCAACGGGACGAGCUACGCUGCGACGGACAACCUGUGCCCACUGGAGGACUUCCGGCGCUAUGUUGCGUGGACGGUGGGAACAGACCCGCGCGGGAUGUGUCUGCUGGACGAGGAGACGUCUGCUCUGCUGGACUGCCCGACGGCCGAGGAGGAGCAGACCGUUUCCGUGGCGCUGCCCGAGUCAUGCUUGCUGUACCGCUCGGCGUGCCCCGCGUAUGCGUGCGCGCCCGGCUACGCUCUAUCCGCGCCGGGGUCGCAGUGCAAGUGCACGUCUGCUUCGUGCCUGGACUUGGGCAGCCACGGGAACAAUAACCUCGUGAAUUUGACGGUGAAGAUGUCCGGAGUCUCUGGAGGCGCUGUUGCCGGCAUCUCCAUCGCGACGUUCUGCGUAGGUGCACUUUUUGCCGUUGCGGUGUCGCUGAUUGUGCUGGCGCUGAUGAGCCGCAGCGGUGGCUCUGCGCACCGCUUUGGGCUCCGCGAUAAGUCCGUGGUACACGACGAGCCACUUCGUCCCGAGCUGUAGGCUCGUCAUGGCUCGCGCAUGUGCACCGGCACAGCCGGCGGCGGCCUGCGUGACGCUGCGUCCACAGCGGAUGACCUCCCCUCGCCCCCUCCCUCCCUUCCUCCUCCCCCCUCCCCCUCCUAUUCCUUCCCGCCUGUGAGCGUUUGCCCAACAUAAUGCGCCUUUCUUUUCGUUGACUCAUUCGUCCCGUGUGUGCGUGGCGGUGCGUGGGGUGACGAUGAUGGUGUGCGGGACUUUAGUGUGUGCGUGCACGUCUGUGCACACGCUGCGCACCGUCACCGCUACUACCCUGUUGCGUAUCGUCACUCCGCUGCGGCCGCGGGCGCGCCGUAAAAUAACUCUGUGGCGGGUGCGCGUGAGGGCACGCAAGUGCGCACCCUUCCCUUUCGCUCCCCGGCCCCCUAAUACUAAGCCCCCUCCCGUCUCUGUGAAGCCGUGUGCAGGUACGUGCGUCGUGCGUUCUACGUUGCGUGCGUGGGUACCUGUUGGCAGGGUAUGCAGGUCGCCUACUGCCCUCUGUGCGCGAAUGCGAGCAGGGACAGACAAUGACGCAUGGCGCACGCCUUGGCACACACGAGGGGUGUGAGUGACCUGCGGGAGACGGAGUAGCAUCCGUAGCGCGGAAGCGUGGCACAGGGGAGGCGGGCGCGAUGCCUCCCCCCACCCCCUGUGCGCUGCUUCUCAUGCUCUCGGUCUCUGGCUCGCUCGCCGUUGCCCCCUCUGUGCCGUAUCCGCUGACCUAUUCCUUCCCUGUCCCCCCUCCCCCUGGUUGCUUGUCAGUUGUGUAUUCCAUCUCUCACUGCGCUCGCGUGCACUGUGGCCUUUUCGCCUAUCUUUUUGUUUCACAUUGACUUGAGAGGACUCAGAGAGAGAAGUGGGAGGACGCGGCGCAGCUGCCUGUUGCAGCCCCCGCCUUGUGGUCUGGGAAUCGAGUCCGUGCGGCCAACGUGCUUGCUGCAGCAGGCGUUUGCGGCCCUCCCUUCAUUCCAUCACCGCUUCAUGUCCGCCCGCCUCCCAUCUCUGACCUUUCCUCCCGCUUUCUAUUAGCCCCUGCACGUGCGCCAUAGCCUCUCCGUGCGUUGCGGCUCAUCUUUUUUUUUUCUUCGCCCUUUUUCUUAUGCUCUCUUUUAUGGUCCCUUUCUGUCGUGCUUUUCUUCCCUUGUGCACUGCAUUGCCCUCCCCGAACGCUGUGGAGAAGGUGCGGAUGGGGAGGCGUGUUGCAGCUCCGUCGCAUCCCGUGAUGGAUCGCCAGACAGGCGUGUGUGUGCUUUUCUCACCCCCUCUGUCUCUGUGUGUGUGCCGAACUCGUUCACCGUGUGGAGUCUGCAAGCGCCUCAGCGGUGCUAAAAUCACCACGGUAGGAGCGGGGGAGAGAGAGCGGCACCCGUGCCGAAGUAUCGCGAUGUAUUGAGCGCACGCAUACACACGCAUCUCCCUACAUGUAUAUAUAUAUAUAUAUAUAUAUAUUGGUGUGCGUGUGUGUGCUGUUUUCAAACGCGGAUCUCGCUCAGAGAGCGCACGCACGUUGUUUCCGUUCUCUGUACGGCCUUGUCACCGGCUACUGCGUGUUGUUCCGUCAGCGCGAUGUCUCGUGGCGUCUCUUUUCUGCGUGAAGGGAUGGAAAGGUAAAAAAUGCUUCUCCUCCUCCUCUGGCUGCGUGGCUGUGCGUGCGUGCGUGCCUUGCGUCUCGAGCAGCUGACACCAUCGCGACGCGCAAGCAUGGGGGCCGAUCGCACUGCUUGGCGGCCGUGGCAAUGCACGAUGGAGGGAUGUGCUCAGCUGAUAACGUGCAGCUCCACUGUGAGGACGUACGUUGGGUAUUAGGGUCAGCCAGCGGACAGCUGGCCGCGCACGUACAAGUUCACCAUUGGCUCUGUCAGGGAUAGAUGAGCCACCUGUACAUCUGCCGUAUGGGUGUGCCUGCGUGACUUGCUGUGGGCUCUCUGUGCGUGCUUGUGACGUGGCAUGGCCAACUGCCUCUUCGUUGCUCUCCCUUUCCUCCAUCUUACUCCCCCUUCCUGCGGUGCUCCUCAG